rnacentral:rRNA from 1 species
UACGGGGGGGCGAGCGUGUUCGGAAUACUGGGCGUAAAGGGUGCGUAGGCGGCUUUCUAAGUCGGAUGUGAAAACUCUGGGCUCAACCCAGAGCCUGCAUCCGAAACUGGAGAGCUAGGGUUCUGGAGGGGAAAGGCGGAAUUCCUGGUGUAGCGGUGAAAUGCGUAGAUAUCAGGAGGAACACCGGUGGCGAAGGCGGCUUCUGGACAGAUACCGACGCUGAGGCACGAAAGCUAGGGGAGCAAACAGG